AUCCAACUGACGAGUCUCAAAAUCGAGCGAAAUGCGCGUCCUGGAU
rfam:Schistosoma margrebowiei strain Zambia genome assembly, scaffold: SMRZ_contig0012673